GUGGACCGGCGCCGCGCCUCCAGAUCUGCAUCGGAAUGCAGAAAAGAUCUUUUUUUUUUUCUUGAAAAAAAAAAAAAAGUUUUGAAUUCCUCAAUGAUUUUUUCUUCUGGAAAGGCAGCUUAGGAUAAUUAUUUCAGCUUUAUUGAGGGCAGAUUAGUUGAAGUCUGAGCGCUGCGUUUCAAUACGCGUUGUACACGGGCCGACAAUGUGG
rnacentral:lncRNA from 1 species